rnacentral:rRNA from 1 species
GACAGAGGAGCCAAGCGUUGUCCGGAGUAACUGGGCGUAAAGCGCACGCAGGUGGUUCUGUGCGUGGGGUGUGAAAGCUCUCGGCUUAACUGAGAGAGGCCACCUCAUACGGCAGAGCUCGAGCCCGUGAGAGGUCCACGGAAUUGCCGGUGUAGAGGUGAAAUUCGUAGAUAUUCGCAGGAACACCAGUGGCGAGGCGACUUGCUGGA